GAAUAAUCAUGUAUGGAUUUAUUUGACUUUUGGACACAAAAUGGAGGAUUCUAGUACAAGGGAAGACAACUAAUUCAGAGGUGAAUUUAUGUCACAAUUAAGUAUUUUGCUGUCAUAACCAACAAAGCCACCCUUGGAUCCGAGAGAGUUGCCACAGAAACGAGCAAGUCCCGUCAUGUGAACAUCUCACGUCAUCUCGUAAUUACGGACACCCAGCAAUCAGGAGGGAAGUCUUGCAGGAGGGGCACCAGGAACUGCAGGCAUCCAUCCCAGUGACACAGCAACAACAUCAUGCCAAUCAGAUUAAAGAUUCUUACCACAGCACUCGCCAGGUCAUACGUCAUAUGAAAAAUCUGGAGGAGGAACACAAGGAGAAAAAGAUUUAUAUUGCUAAUAAUGCAGUGAGACUAGAACAUCACGGGAGCACAUCAGCAUCUGCGAAUUGACAACUGCCCUGGAGGAUUCAAAACAAUUAUGUUUAACCCCAAAGACAUCAGUCAACACAAGAGAAGAGAAGAUUUGUUAUCCAUCUCAUCUUCGCCUACUAAAAGGUCUGAUACUUAAUAGCUCUGCAUCAAUAAAACUGCAGUGAAAAGGGCUGUUCUAUAUUCUGCAGCGGUUCUCAAUUGGUUUUGCUUUAGGGUUUAGAUUUUACAUUAAACAACGAGUGUAACUCACCACGAUGCAGCAUUUUUAUGGUAAACCAGCCCAAGCUGUAUUGUAAAGAGAUAAACAACAUCUUUUUUUGCAAUCUUUUUUUAUUAUUAUUAAAAAAUAAUUAGUUUCACGCAGUAUUCCACUGGAAACGCAGUAUGUUUGAAAUAAAAAAGACCAAAAUGAAACACUGGGCCAAAUAUUCAAAAUACAGUACAUAAAAAGAGCGAUACUUAUUUUUGCUAUCCUAAAUAUGCACCGUUUUAUGUUCAUUUGCAUUUAUUAAUUUGCAUAUCAUUGUUGUAAUAGACCCUGAUGCUUGUUUCGGUCACGACCCACCAGUUGAAAACCACGGAGAACGCCGCCCACGUGCACUUUUGUGAAACAUUAGGUACUCUUACACACGAUUGCAAGAGUCCCUGUCUUUCUUAGUGAACGCCUGGGAUAUUUGCAUGUGUUUUGUGCAAAGGUAGAUUUGGUUUGAGUUUCACAAGAGCGAUACAGCUAAGAGACGAGAGAGGAUGAUACAAAACGAGGGACGUGGCCUGAAAUGAUAUGAGAUUACAUAUAAACACGGCAGAUGAUUAGUCAUAUGCAAACUACAUUGUGUGCUGGCACAACAGAGACUCAGAGGGGUGAAAGGCUUUGAAUGCUGAAAAAAUCAAUUCAGGCUUGGCAAGAUGUAAGCGGGUAGCAAUUUUAAACGGAGUGAAAUAAUGCAGAGAAAUGGAUAGGGGUUGAGAGGAAGUAUAUGUGUGUAUGUGGAAGAGAUACACAUUUAUUCUUGUUUUGUUUCUGCUUAUUCUGUGAAGUCAACCGAAAGAGAUCGUGGUUGUUAUAUAACUCACAUAGCCUCACAUAACUUAGAGUAAAACAACUUCUCAGACAAUUCACACCCAAAUAAUUGCAUUUUACUCACGUAAUGUGACAUUUUUCUGGGUGAGACUGGAUUUUCAAGGAGUAAAAAUGCAUGGCAGGACUUGAUCUUAUUUACUGCGAAUUGAAUGAAUAGUGAAGUGGUCUCUGUAUGACAGGUAAUUUUAGGGGUUGGAAAAUAAGAGGAGUUGGAGAUGCCAGACAAAAUAAACUUUU